rnacentral:tRNA from 1 species
GGAGAUAUGGCUCAGUGGUUAGAAGCAUUGGCUGCUCUUCCAGAGGACCAGGGUUCAAUUCCCAGCAUCUACA